AAAAGGGGAAAUGUGGUGAAAUAUUGUGUACCCUAAUAAAGCUUGCCUGAGGAUCAGAGAACAGAACAAGCCACUAGAUUAAACAUGAAAACCAGGCAGUGGUGGCACACACCUUUAAUCCUAGUACUCAAAGGCAGAGAUCUGUCUGGAUCUCUGUGGGUUCAAAGCCACCCUGGACUACAUGAGAUUGACUCAGUCUAAAAGAGAAACAGAGCCAGGCAGUGGUGGCACACACCUUUAAUCCUAAUACUUGGGAGUGACACUCCUUUAAUCCUAGCACUUGGGAUCUCAUGGCUUUGCUACCAGUAUUUGAGAAGCACACAUGCCAUAAUCCAGCACUAGGAAGGAAGUGAAAUGGCUGGGUGGAGAAAGGCAUAUAAGGCCUGAGGAGACAGGAACUAGAGCCUUUUGGCUGAGACCUUUUUGGCUGAGGACUCAGAGGCUUGCAGUCUGAGGAUUUGUGUAGAUAGGAUCUUGUCUCCAUUUUAGCCUGAGGAUUUCAGCAAUAAUAAAAGGACCUGGAAGGAGACUCUGACCACUCACACUGUCACUGCUCAGUUCACCUGUCCUUUGCUGGUUGAUAUGAAAACCAGCUUCUUUGUGAUUCCAACACAGACUGAUGACAGCAGCUCUCCAGGGGUCUCAUGUGGCCCAGGCUAACUUUGACUUGCUGCCUCUACUUCCCAGGUGUGCCUAGUGCUGGUUAUUCAACUUUUUUGCCUCUCAGCUCUGAAUGCACCCUUUGCUUGAUUCUCUGUAAUGUGUAAUUCAGCCUUAAGCAGGGAUACUUGCUUCAACCUCUCUCCCUGAAAAGAAACUUUGGUAUUUUUUAUAACCCAGGAGAAGAAAAGAGGUGAAAGAAAGGCGAGAACAGGGCUGUGUGAUGGCAUUAGCUGAUUACAAAGACGUUUUGGGAUACUGAAGAGAAGUGUACAUCAUUGUUGUGGGAUAUUUGUACACUGUGUGAAGAUAUAUUGCUGUGAUUGGUUCAAUAAAGAGCUGAACAGCCAAUAGCUAGGCAGGAGAUACAGGCAGGACUCCUGGGCAGAGAGAAAGGAAGCCGAUGAAUCUACUUGUCCAAGAGACGCCAGGAGACACAGAAGAAGCAGUACGUGACAGAACGUAGAUUAACAGAAAUAGGUUAAUUUAAGUUAUAAGAGCUAGUAUGUCGCGUCCGCCUCUCGACCAGCAAGGAAGACGCGACGCCAGGCUCUUCUCCAAGCAGUUUAUUCAGGAACCUUGAACAAUCUUCUGACCCCGGGGAAAGCCGCCGCCUUCUUCUUCUUCUUCUUCUUCUUCUUCUUCUUCUUCUUCUUCUUCUUCUUCUUCUUCUUCUUCUUCUUCUUCUUCUUCUUCCUCUCUCUCUCUCUCUCUCUCUCUCUCUCUCUCUCUCUCACUCUCACACUCACACUCACUCGCGUGUGCCCUCUCAAAAGCCAGCCCACGCCCUUUAUAGCCACUGGGCAAUCAACCCCGUGGUGCCACGUGGACAAUGCCACUAGGGUCAUACGCAAGCAAGCCAGAUUAGGUCCAGGUGUGCGGAUCCUAGCCUUAGCCAAAUAAGGAGCAUCUGCCAUCGGGAAGGCAGAAGCCAGAUGCCGUGCCAUCUUUGAGGCACGGCCGUGCACGGCUCUCUACACUAGUAAAAAAAAACAAAAACAAAACAAAACAAAAAAAAAACAAGCCUAGGCUAAGGCCAACCUUUCAUAAGUCUCUCUGUUGUUAUUUGAAAGCUGGCUGGU